AUGAUUCAAAUUCCUAAAGCAACAACGCAUUACCUUCGUUUGGAAAUAAGGGGCAUGAUUUUAGUUGAAAUUGGAACUAAAACCACGACAAUUAUUUCCGAACGGACGGAGUACUUGUUUUCUACACAACAACUAUGCAUUCAACGAUCUGACCUAUAUUAUAUACAUGUUGAGGUAGAAAAGUGGGUAUAUAUACUUGCUUCUAUUCUGCUCUGGGCAACUAAAUUAACUGGGGAACAUGAAAGGCACACAUCAACUGAUGAUACCAGAAUAAUUGAUUGGCUGCUACACAGGCCAGAUUCUUGCUCUGCUGCUAGUUAA
rnacentral:rRNA from 1 species